rnacentral:misc_RNA from 1 species
AAAAUAACUAAUUGCAGAUUGCAACUAAUUUACAAGACGAAUCUUUUAAGCCUAAUUACUCUAUGAUUUGACAAUGUGGUGCUACAGACUAUAGUAACAUUUGCUAAUGACGGAUUAAUUAGGCUGAAUAAAUUCGUCUCGCGGUUUAUUGACGGAUUCUGUAAUUAGUUUUUUCAUUAG